CAAUAGCGUAUAUUAAAGUUGUUGCGGUAAAAAAGCUCGUAGUUGGAUUUCUACCGAAGAUAGCCGGUCGGGUCUUCGACCUUGUAUCUGGUUUUGUCUUUGGUAUCCUCAUAGGGAACGUUUCUGCGCUUUAUUGCGUGGUGCGGUAUCUAUGACUUUUACUUUGAGGAAGUUAGAGUGUUCACGGCAGGCAAACGCCUUGAAUAUAUUAGCAUGGAAUAAUAACAUAGGAUCUUCGUCCUAUUUUGUUGGUUUCUAGGGCUAAGAUAAUGAUUAAUAGGGAUAAUUGGGGGCAUCUGUAUCAACGCGUCAGAGGUGGAAUUCUUGGAUUGCGUUGCGACAAACUACUGCGAAAGCAUUUGCCAAGGAUGUUUUCAUUGA
rnacentral:rRNA from 1 species